CAGAGGGUGCAAGCGUUGUUCGGAAUUAUUGGGCGUAAAGGGCAGGUAGGUGGUCUUAAAAGUCUACUGUGAAAUCCCUGGGCUUAACCCAGGAAGUGCGGUGGAUACUCUAAGACUUGAGUGCCGGAGGGGUGCGUGGAAUUCCGAGUGUAGCGGUGAAAUGCGUAGAUAUUCGGAGGAACACCAGAGGCGAAAGCGGCGCACUGGACGGCAACUGACACUCAACUGCGAAAGCGUGGGGAGCAAACAGGAUUAGAUACCCUGGUAGUCCACGCUGUAAACGAUGGAUACUAGACGUGGUGGGUCUUGACCCCUGCCGUGUCGAAGUUAACACGAUAAGUAUCCCGCCUGGGAAGUACGGUCGCAAGACUA
rnacentral:rRNA from 1 species